rnacentral:rRNA from 1 species
UACGUAGGGUGCGAGCGUUGCCCGGAUUUAUUGGGCGUAAAGGGUGCGUAGGCGGGUCUUUAAGUCAGGGGUGAAAUCCUGGAGCUCAACUCCAGAACUGCCUUUGAUACUGAAGAUCUUGAGUUCGGGAGAGGUGAGUGGAACUGCGAGUGUAGAGGUGAAAUACGUAGAGAUUGGGAAGAACACCAGUGGCGAAGGCGGCUAUCUGGACGGUUUCUGACGCUAAGACGCGAAAGCGUGGGGAGCAAACAGG